GCUUAACACAUGCAAGUCGAGGGGCAGCAUGGUCUUAGCUUGCUAAGGCCGAUGGCGACCGGCGCACGGGUGAGUAACACGUAUCCAACCUGCCGUCUACUCUUGGACAGCCUUCUGAAAGGAAGAUUAAUACAAGAUGGCAUCAUGAGUCCACAUGUUCACAUGAUUAAAGGUAUUCCGGUAGACGAUGGGGAUGCGUUCCAUUAGAUAGUAGGCGGGGUAACGGCCCACCUAGUCUUCGAUGGAUAGGGGUUCUGAGAGGAAGGUCCCCCACAUUGGAACUGAGACACGGUCCAAACUCCUACGGGAGGCAGCAGUGAGGAAUAUUGGUCAAUGGGCGAGAGCCUGAACCAGCCAAGUAGCGUGAAGGAUGACUGCCCUAUGGGUUGUAAACUUCUUUUAUAAAGGAAUAAAGUCGGGUAUGGAUACCCGUUUGCAUGUACUUUAUGAAUAAGGAUCGGCUAACUCCGUGCCAGCAGCCGCGGUAAUACGGAGGAUCCGAGCGUUAUCCGGAUUUAUUGGGUUUAAAGGGAGCGUAGAUGGAUGUUUAAGUCAGUUGUGAAAGUUUGCGGCUCAACCGUAAAAUUGCAGUUGAUACUGGAUAUCUUGAGUGCAGUUGAGGCAGGCGGAAUUCGUGGUGUAGCGGUGAAAUGCUUAGAUAUCACGAAGAACUCCGAUUGCGAAGGCAGCCUGCUAAGCUGCAACUGACAUUGAGGCUCGAAAGUGUGGGUAUCAAACAGGAUUAGAUACCCUGGUAGUCCACACGGUAAACGAUGAAUACUCGCUGUUUGCGAUAUACAGCAAGCGGCCAAGCGAAAGCGUUAAGUAUUCCACCUGGGGAGUACGCCGGCAACGGUGAAACUCAAAGGAAUUGACGGGGGCCCGCACAAGCGGAGGAACAUGUGGUUUAAUUCGAUGAUACGCGAGGAACCUUACCCGGGCUUAAAUUGCAGAUGAAUUACGGUGAAAGCCGUAAGCCGCAAGGCAUCUGUGAAGGUGCUGCAUGGUUGUCGUCAGCUCGUGCCGUGAGGUGUCGGCUUAAGUGCCAUAACGAGCGCAACCCUUGUUGUCAGUUACUAACAGGUUCCGCUGAGGACUCUGACAAGACUGCCAUCGUAAGAUGUGAGGAAGGUGGGGAUGACGUCAAAUCAGCACGGCCCUUACGUCCGGGGCUACACACGUGUUACAAUGGGGGGUACAGAGGGCCGCUACCACGCGAGUGGAUGCCAAUCCCAAAAACCUCUCUCAGUUCGGACUGGAGUCUGCAACCCGACUCCACGAAGCUGGAUUCGCUAGUAAUCGCGCAUCAGCCACGGCGCGGUGAAUACGUUCCCGGGCCUUGUACACACCGCCCGUCAAGCCAUGGGAGCCGGGGGUACCUGAAGUGCGUAACCGCGAGGAGCGCCCUAGGGUAAAACUGGUGACUGGGGCUAAGU
rnacentral:rRNA from 1 species